rnacentral:tRNA from 1 species
AAAGAUUUAAAAAUUAAAGCCGCUAACUUUAAGUAUUGUGAUUUUCAUGAAAAUCUUU